rnacentral:rRNA from 1 species
UACGUAGGUGGCAAGCGUUGUCCGGAAUUAUUGGGCGUAAAGGGCUCGUAGGCGGUCUGUCACGUCGGGAGUGAAAACACGGGGCUUAACCCCGUGCCUGCUUCCGAUACGGGCAGACUAGAGGUAUGCAGGGGAGAACGGAAUUCCUGGUGUAGCGGUGAAAUGCGCAGAUAUCAGGAAGAACACCAAUGGCGAAGGCAGCUCACUGGGACGGUACUGACGCUGAGACGCGAAAGCGUGGGAGCAAACAGG